GACCAUGCUUCCAUGGGACCUGCCAGUGUGGUAGUUUCCCUUCCUAGUCAUGGUAGAGAAACCUUCAACCUUGCUUUUUGGCAUAGCUCCCAUCCAUUCAAUUGGGGCGAGACUCUGACUUGGGCAAGGCACAA
ensembl:snoRNA